rnacentral:lncRNA from 1 species
GGACUGAGACCCCCGAAGUGAGUGGUUGGAUAGGUUUUGCUCUACUGGAUCACCCUGCAUUUUUCCCCACCUCUCCCCCACAUUUCUUUUGAGAUUUACUUUUGUACCGCUCUGCACAUUAGAUUAACAAGAAGGAAAGAGACUUGUAGUUGACAUUAACUCAAACCAUUAUUUGCAGAACUCAGAAAAUAGAUAAACAGAUUUGUUUUCCAUAGGGAAGCAACUGAUCAAAAAAGUAUAUAUGUAUUUAGGAGUUCCCAUCGUGGCGCAGUGGUUAACGAAUCCGACUAGGAACCAUGAGGUUGCGGGUUCGGUCCCUGCCCUUGCUCAGUGGGUUAACGAUCUGGCGUUGCCGUGAGCUGUGGUGUAGGUUGCAGACGAGGCUCGGAUCCCACCCUGGGAACCUCCAUAUGCCGCGGGAGCGGCCCAAGAAAUAGCAACAACAACAACAACAACAAGACAAAAAAAAAAAAAAAAAGUAUAUAUGUAUUUAAUAGAUGUUUUCUAUGAAAACAAAACAUGAGUGUUUCUUUUUAUCUGGGAAAAGAUAUCUUAAUAUUAGGAAACUCAACUUAUUUUAGCUUAUUGUUUUGAAAAAUUUGUAUUUUUGGAAUGUGUUUUAUUCACUGGGAACAGCAAUUAUCUUUUAUAUUUAACUUUAGCAGAUGAGAGUGUAGUAGUGUUAGGCAAAAAACUAACUAAACUAAAUGUUGGCAAAUCGUUGCAAAUGGAGUAAAGUGUCUUAUGAAAUAUUUACAAUUACAGAAAAAAAUUUCUCAAGCAAAUGCAAGGUAAGAAGUGACUUAAAAAUGAAAUUAAUUGAAAAUAUUCCUUGGUGAACUAAUUUGGUCAGUCACUAUAAGGUGGUAAUUGAAAAUGUGCUCAGGGGAGUUUCUGUCGUGGCGCAGUGGAAACAAAUCUGACUAGCAUCCGUGAGGGCACAGGUUCAGUCUCUGGCCUCACUGACUGGGUUAAGGAUCCGGCGUUGCCAGGAACCGUGGUAUGGGUUGCAGAUGUGGCUCGGAUCUGAGGUUGCUGAGGCUGUGGUGUAGGCCAGUGGCUGCAGCUCUGAUUUGACCCCUGGCCUGGGAACCUCCAUAGGCCAAGAGUGUGACCCUGAAAAAAAAAAA